rnacentral:rRNA from 1 species
UGCGCAGGUGGGUUUGUAAGUCAGUGGUGAAAUGCUGCCGCUUAACGGUAGAAUUGCCAUUGAUACUGCAAAUCUUGAGUAUGGUUGAGGUAGGCGGAAUGUGUUGUGUAGCGGUGAAAUGCAUAGAUAUGACACAGAACGCCGAUUGCGAAGGCAGCUUACUAAGCCAUUACUGACGCUGAGGCACGAAAGCGUGGGGAGCAAACAGGAUUAGAUACCCUGGUAGUCC